CAGCGCCGGCGCAGGCGCAGGGGGGCCCACAGCGCCGGAGCAGGUGCAGAAAGUCAGAAGGUCCAUGAGGGGAAGUUCCUGCUUCAGGUGCAGAAAUACAGCUAUUUCCAGUGCCAGCUGUUGAGCCAGUGCCAGCACCAGGGUCAAAGCCCCCUCCAGGGACAGCGCUGGAGCUAGAGGAGGCUCCAGAGCCCUCCUGCCAUUGCCCUGGGACUGCCCAGAACCAGCCCAGUGAGAAGCUGCCUGACUUCAUGGCACCUCAUGUACAGCCACCGGCCUCAGCCCUGGAGCUGAAAGUGUGGCAGGAGCUAGAGGUGGCAGAGAGGGGGUGACAAGCACAGCUCCAGCCAGCAGCUCCCACACUGCUCCCAGUCCUGGGCACAGUGGAAGCUAUGGAGGCAGAGACCAGGGUGUGCAGCCUGGGCUCCUCUGCCUCACUGGAGAGGGACUUCUCUCAUUCAGCAGAGCAGCAGCCCUGCUGCUGAAGAGCCUGCUGCUACUGCUGCUGGAGGUGUUUGCCUGCCUACAGGAGGUGCUGGAGAGCAAGAAAAGGAGCCUGUGAGCAGGGGUUCCAGCAGGUCCUCCUGCUCCCAGAGGUGACCUCCUCCUCCAGGCAUGGAGAUUUGCCCUCACCUAGGCAUCUGGGCCAUUUGC
rnacentral:lncRNA from 1 species